rnacentral:rRNA from 1 species
CUCAGGAUGAACGCUAGCGGGACGCCUAACACAUGCAAGUCGAACGGUUCUUCGGAACAGUGGCAAACGGGCGAGUAACACGUACCUAACCUGCCCUCGAGCGAGGCAUAACUGUGGAGACGCAGCUAAUUCCUCAUACGAUCCAUAAAAUGAGAAUAUAUGGAUGAAAGGUUUACCACUCGAGGAGGGGGGUGCGGUCUAUCAGAUAGUUGGUGAGGUAACGGCUCACCAAGUCUAUGACGGAUAGCCGGUCUGAGAUGAUGUCCGGCCGCAAUGGGACUGAGACACGGCCCAUACUCCUACGGGAGGCAGCAGUGGGGAAUCUUGCGCAAUGGGCGAAAGCCUGACGCAGCGAUCCCGCGUGGAGGAUGACACCUUACGGGGCGUAAACUCCUUUUUUGGUGGAAGACGAAAGACGGUACACCAAGAAUAAAGGACGGCUAACUACGUGCCAGCAGCCGCGGUAAUACGUAGGUCCUAAGCGUUAUCCGGAUUUACUGGGCGUAAAGCGUCUGUAGCUGGAAAAAUAAGUCUGUUUUCAAAUACUGUGGCUCAACCAUAGAAAGGGAAUGGAUACUAUCUUUCUAGAGGUUAUUAGAGGUUAGUGGAAUUUCCGGUGGAGCGGUGAAAUGUGUUGAUAUCGGAAGGAACGCCAAAAGCGAAAGCAGCUAACUAUAAUAAACCUGACGGUCAGAGACGAAAGCUUGGGUAGCAAACGGGAUUAGAUACCCCGGUAGUCCAAGCCGUAAAUUAUGCUUGCUAGAUGUUUUCUCCAUUUUGGAGGGAGUGUCGUAAUCUAACGAGUUAAGCAAGCCGCCUGGGUAGUAUAUACGCAAGUAUGAAACUCAAAGGGAUAGGCGGGGGAACACACAAGCAGUGGAUUGUCUAGAUUACUUGGAUAAUAAGCCAAAAAUCUCACCUAAACUUGACUUG